rnacentral:rRNA from 1 species
UACGAAGGAUCCUAGCGUUGUCCGGAUUUACUGGGUUUAAAGGGAGCGUAGGCGGACUUUUAAGUCAGUGGUGAAAGCCUGCAGCUUAACUGUAGAAUUGCCAUUGAAACUGAUUGUCUCGAGUGCGGUUGAGGUCACUGGAAUGUAUCAUGUAGCGGUGAAAUGCUUAGAUAUGAUACAGAACACCAAUUGCGAAGGCAGGUGACUAAAACCGUAACUGACGCUGAGGCUCG